rnacentral:tRNA from 1 species
GGCUCAGUGGCGAAGUGGCUAACGCGGUCGUCUGCAAAACGACUACCCGCCGGUUCGAUUCCGGCCUGGGCCU